CUAAUACAUGCAAGUCGAACGGUAACAGGGCAGAACUUCGGUUCAGCCGUUGACGAGUGGCGCACGGGUGAGUAACGCGUACGUAACCUACCUUCAAGAUAGGGAUAGCCCCGGGAAACUGGGAUUAAUACCUCAUAGUAUUAUUUGAUCACCUGAUCGAAUAAUUAAAGUUUCGGCGCUUGAAGAUGGACGUGCGUGCAUUAGCUAGUUGGUGAGGUAACGGCUCACCCAAGAGACGAAGGCCAAGGGGCCUGAGAAACCUGUGACCCCACAACGCGGGGCACUGAGACACGGACCCGACUCCUACGGGAGGCAGCAGUAAGGAAUAUUGGACAAUGGACGAGAGUCUGAUCCAGCCAUCCCGCGUGUAGGAUGACUGCCCUACGGGUUGUAAACUACUUUUAUUUGGGAAGAAACCUGGUCAUUGAUGAUCAGUUGACGGUACCUUAUGAAUAAGCACCGGCUAACUCCGUGCCAGCAGCCGCGGUAAUACGGAGGGUGCAAGCGUUAUCCGGAAUCACUGGGGGUUUAAAAGGGAGCGUAGGCGGCAUUGAUAAGUCAGAGGUGAAAGGCUGUAGCUUAACUAUGGAAUUGCCUUUGAUACUGUUGUGCUUGAAUCAAGUUGAGGUCGGCGGAAUGAGACAUGUAGCGGUGAAAUGCCUAGAUAUGUCUUAGAACACCCAUUGCGAAGGCAGCUGGGUGGACUUUGAUUGGACGCUGAGGCUCGAAAGCGUGGGGAGCAAACA
rnacentral:rRNA from 1 species